rnacentral:rRNA from 1 species
CGACCGUCUCAGUUCGGAUCGCAGGCUGCAACCCGCCUGCGUGAAGUCGGAAUCGCUAGUAAUCGCGGAUCAGCAUGCCGCGGUGAAUACGUCCCCGGGCCUUGUACACACCGCCCGUCACACCAUGAGAGUCGGGAACACCCGAAGUCCGUAGCCUAACUAGCAAUAGAGGGCGCGGCCGAAGGUGGGUUCGAUAAUUGGGGUGAAGUCGUAACAAGGUAGC